rnacentral:rRNA from 1 species
CGGCGGACGGGUGAGUAACACGUGGGCAACCUACCUGUAAGAUCGGGAUAACUCCGGGAAACCGGUGCUAAUACCGAAUGAUAUUUUUCAUCUCCUGAUGGAAAGUUAAAAGGCGGCUUCUGCUGUCACUUACAGAUGGGCCCGUGGCGCAUUAGCUAGUUGGUGGGAUAAAAGCUUACCAAGGCAACGAUGCGUAGCCGACCUGAGAGGGUGAUCGGCCACACUGGGACUGAGACACGGCCCAGACUCCUACGGGAGGCAGCAGUAGGGAAUCUUCCGCAAUGGACGAAAGUCUGACGGAGCAACGCCGCGUGAGUGAUGAAGGUUUUCGGAUCGUAAAACUCUGUUGUUAGGGAAGAACAAGUACUGUUCUAACAGGGCAGUACCUUGACGGUACUUAACCAGAAAGCCCCGGCUAACUACGUGCCAGCAGCCGCGGUAAUACGUAGGGGGCGAGCGUUGUCCGGAAUUAUUGGGCGUAAA